AUUAAGGGAAUUUGUUGAGUUACUGCUAAUAACUUACUGUCAUGUAGUAAUGACUUC
rnacentral:tRNA from 1 species